rnacentral:lncRNA from 1 species
UGGCUCCAAGGGGUGACUGGGGCUGUGGAGCCAAGCUGAAGCCAAGACGCCAACGAAAUUCUUUUUUUGAGAAGCCUCCCCCUCUCUCCCGAGGGGGGCACCGCUUUUAUCAGCACUGCACAAAGGAGGAAACUGAGGCAGAGAUGGAAGAGGUGGGAACUGAACAUCUGCGGUAGAACCAGCAUCUGGAAACCUCAUGACUGCCUGUUCAGACUUCAUCCAGAAAAGUCCUAAAACAUAAUAUGC